UCUUUCAUUUAGAAAGAAAUCACACAAACCCAGCACUGUAAGCCUACACCACCGCCGCAAGGAGUGGAAUACUGCCGCCGUCCGUCGCACUCAAAGUUCGCCAUCCGUCAUCUAUCUUCCCUCGUGCUCCUAGUCUUCAACCCCUGUUCGCUAUCACCGAUCGCGGCUGCUUCCUCGAGCUCGGCGUCCGUCGUCUUUGUCUGCUCAGCCUUCCUUCCGUCGUCGUUUGUUUGCCGUUCACGUUCACGUCUUCGUUCAGCUGUCGUCUUCGUUCGCGUUCUUCGCCGUUCACGUUCGCUCGGCGUUCACCGUUCGCGUUCACUCGCUGUUCACCGUUCGAGUUCGCGGUUCGUCUGGAAGCCACGUUGCUCCGGUUCAAACUCUGCGACCAACCCGCGCGCUCCACCCAGCCGUCGAACUGCUCUCUUUUGUCGCCAAAGAGUGCAUUGUAAUCAUGGUCCAGUGGCAAAGGCAUUUCUUGCCAGUUUUUCGUCAAAUUGCACACUCUGCUACCACCUCAUCUCCCCAAGGUAAGGGUCUGACGACAUUGACAGCAAGAACAGUACUAUUGCCCUCAAUUUCAAGUCAUA